UAUGAAGAACGCAGCGAAAUGCGAUAAGUAGUGUGAAUUGCAGAAUUCAGUGAAUCAUCGAAUCUUUGAACGCACAUUGCGCCCUUUGGUAUUCCUUAGGGCAUGCCUGUUCGAGCGUCAUUUAAACCUUCAAGCUCAGCUUGGUGUUGGGUGACUGUCCGCUUCACCGCGGACUCGCCUCAAAAUUAUUGGCGGCCGGUACAUUGGCUCUCGAGCGCAGCAGAAACGCGUAACUCGAGGUCCUCGUGCUGGCUCCCAGAAGCUAUCUUCACAAUUUUGACCUCGGAUCAGGUAGGGAUACCCGCUGAACUUAAGCAUAUCAAUAAGCGGAGGA
rnacentral:misc_RNA from 1 species